CGCAACCCUCGUCGUAUGUUAUAUGUGCAUACGAGACUGCCGGUAAAAGCCGGAGGAAGGUGAGGAUGAUGGUCAAGUCAGCAUGACCUUUAUAUCCAGGGCUACACACACGCUACAAUGGUCUGUACAAUGGGUAGCCAAGCCGCGAGGCGGAGCCAAUCCUGAAAGCAGGCCUCAGUUCAGAUUGCAGUCUGCAACUCGACUGCAUGAAGCCGGAGUUGCUAGUAACCGCAGGUCAGCAAUACUGCGGUGAAUACGUUCCCGGGUCUU
rnacentral:rRNA from 1 species